UCUUUUCUAUGGAAGCUUGCUUCCACUGAGAAGAUAGUGGCGGACGGGUGAGUAACACGUGGGUAACCUGCCCAUAAGAGGGGGAUAACAUCCGGAAACGGGUGCUAAUACCGCAUAGUUUUCUUGGUCGCAUGAUCGAGAAAGGAAAGACGGCCUUUGUGCUGUCGCUUAUGGAUGGACCCGCGGCGUAUUAGUUAGUUGGUGAGGUAACGGCUCACCAAGACGAUGAUACGUAGCCGACCUGAGAGGGUGAUCGGCCACAUUGGGACUGAGACACGGCCCAAACUCCUACGGGAGGCAGCAGUAGGGAAUCUUCCGCAAUGGACGAAAGUCUGACGGAGCAACGCCGCGUGAGUGAAGAAGGUUUUCGGAUCGUAAAACUCUGUUGUCAGAGAAGAACAAGUCGGAGAGUAACUGCUCCGGCCUUGACGGUAUCUGACCAGAAAGCCACGGCUAACUACGUGCCAGCAGCCGCGGUAAUACGUAGGUGGCAAGCGUUGUCCGGAUUUAUUGGGCGUAAAGCGAGCGCAGGCGGUUCCUUAAGUCUGAUGUGAAAGCCCACGGCUCAACCGUGGAAGGUCAUUGGAAACUGGGGAACUUGAGUGCAGAAGAGGAGAGUGGAAUUCCAUGUGUAGCGGUGAAAUGCGUAGAUAUAUGGAG
rnacentral:rRNA from 1 species